CGGAUUUUCAAAAGCACCGACAUAGCAUUUCCAACAAGUACCGCAUACCCAUCCCGAAGCGGGUGCUGGGGUUUCAAUGGCCUCGGACAAAACGGGAUGAACUUUAAAUCUUGCAGCAGACUGGUGUCUGUGUGAGGUCAUUAAGCCUGCAACCACAGCCUGUGUCAGUGAAAGAGACGGAGACAGACAGACAGAGAUGGGUCACAGGAGAGGGUGACGGUGCUGACCUCGCCUUGCUAUAGUGGCCUUUGUGGGUCUGUCACUUCCUAUUCAAAAGAUAAAAAAUAAAAAGCAGCUUCUAAA